rnacentral:rRNA from 1 species
GUUGAACGCUGGCGGAAUGCUUUACACAUGCAAGUCGAACGGCAGCACGGACUUCGGUCUGGUGGCGAGUGGCGAACGGGUGAGUAACAUAUCGGAACGUAUCCAAUAAUGGGGGAUAACGAGUCGAAAGAUUCGCUAAUAACGCAUACGCCCUACGGGGGAAAGCUGGGACCUGCGGGCCUGGCGUUAAUGGAGCGGCCGAUAUCUGAUUAGCUAGUUGGUGAGGUAAAGGCUCACCAAGGCGACGAUCAGUAGCUGGUCUGAGAGGACGACCAGCCACACUGGAACUGAGACACGAUCCAGACUCCUACGGGAGGCAGCAUUGGGGAAUUUUGGACAAUGGGCGCAAGCCUGAUCCAGCCAUUCCGCGUGAGUGAAGAAGGCCUUCGGGUUGUAAAGCUCUUUCGCAAGGGAAGAAGACUUAGCCACUAACAGUGGUUGAGGUUGACGGUACCUUGAUAAGAAGCACCGACUAACUACGUGCCAGCAGCCGCAGUAA